AUUAAGUAGAAAUAUAUAUUAUUAUAUAUUAUAUUAUAUAUUAUAACAGUAUCUACUCGAUACUUAUAAAUGUAAUCGUUGCACAUCACUACUGGCGACGCGUGACCAAAACACGCAAUUCUGCAAAAAUACCGCGAAACCGAAACUAGGCAUAAUAAUAUAAAAAGAAAUAUUGAUCGUUAAGGCAUAACAUUCCAUGCAUGAAUUUCGCACCGGAUCACAUUCCGUAUACGUGUUUGGCACCUCGCUGUCUAUUGGUUGAAUCAUAACCGCGUGCAGCAAAGAGCCAAUGAUAAAGCCCUAGGUGCCAAAUACAUAUACGGAAUGUUAAGAUUGGCCCGGUGCACCAGGUGUGGUGCACAUUUAUUUAUCGAUGUAUACCGGGCGCGCCAAGCUCAUUUCAGUUUUACUCCCGUUUCGGUGUAUAGGGUGGAGUUAAAAGAAAUAGUUGUGGAUUUUAUUGAUUGUGUGGGGAAUAAAAUGUCUAAUCAAAAAAUUUGUUCAGUGGAUGGUUGUGAAAGUCGAAUGACAGAUCAGAUAUCGUUUUUUAGGUGCCCUAAAGAUGCAGGAAGAAGGUGUCAAGCUUGGAAAAAUGCUUUUGGAUUUAUAGGAUCCCAUAGAUUUGCGGAUAAUACUCCAACGCAAUGUUAUAACCGUAUUAAAUUUACGAUGCACAUUUUCCUAAAGCCAGUGUUGAUGCCAUUGUUCAGACAGAACCCUUCAAAGUAAAUGAGCCAAAGCAGCUAUUACUAUAAGGAACCUAAACGUCAGUAAAACUUUUAGCAGAUACGCCAAGAAAAGUUUUACUUAAGGAGACAGUAAAAACACUAGAAAAAAAAACUAUUACUACUCACACUUGCAAAAAAAGCCUUGAAACAGAAAUUACCAUAGAUGACGUUCUGAAAUUUUUGGAAUCAAAUUUUUCUGAAGAAACAUGCAAUCUGUUAAAAACUCAAAUGUUAUUGCUGAAUAAGGACUCAAAAGGACGCAGGUAUCCAAUGAAUUUAAACAGUUUGCUCUAAGUGUGUUUUUUCUAGGUAUAAAAGCUUACAAAAAAAUGUCCACAGUUUAUCAUCUACCAUCAAGAUCUACAUUAAACCGUUUUACGCAACAAUGGGUAAUAAAUUUAGGUUUUACCGAGUUUGUUUUUAAAGUAGUUGAAUGUAGAGUAAAAAUACAUCUGCACCUGUUAAUCAUUUAAAA